rnacentral:rRNA from 1 species
AUGCAGAUGGUCUCCUGCGGUCUCACGGCCGUGAACAUCAACGGAGAUAUAGGCCCUUACUUCCCCACCCUUUGUGGGGUUAGGCAAGGGGACCCCUUCUCUCCGUUCUUGUUCAAUAUGGUGGUGGACGCUCUUGCCGCCAUCCUGGAUAAGGCGAAGGCUGCUGGCCAUAUUCAUGGGAUCACCCCCCACCUGGCCGGAGGCUCCAGGAUUUCCCUCCUCCAGUAUGCCAACGACACCUUCAUCAUGGUC